AAAGGGCGAAAACUAAUCCCAACGAAUUGAAAGACGAAGCAAGAGAAAGCGAGCACGUCGAAUGCAAAAAAAAGGUUCAACUGUUGACAACCAGAAACCCGUCAUUACAGAUUCCGAAAGAAUUCCUCAAAACUUCAGAUUGUGGCGGAGCCUUCAACACCCCUGAAUGACGAAGAUGUGGAACCAAAGCAGCCGAGGCAAAGUGACGAUGUCAUGAAUGCCAGAGUUGUGGGGAUGCUUGUAAACGAUAGCAUCAGCUUGCUGAGGAGGAAGAGGCAAUACCUACUGAGGCAGGACCUUCCGACGCAGCAUAAAAUGACACAGAAGGUACAUCGGAAGAAUUGCCUGUAACUGCACCUAUAACGGCAACGCAUCUAUGGACGCCGAUGAAAUAAAUUUAAGAGUAGAAUUGUCCGAAGAAGAGGAAACUAAUAAUAAUUAAUAAUAUAAGAAUAUACAUGGCUAGCUACGAUUAAGUUCAGCCUAAAAUAACAUGCAAAUUCAGUCUUUCUUUUGUACGUGGUUCGGGGAUGUCCCCGGCUUUUUUUAGCCAAGAGAAAAAAAUUGUAACACGAGUUUUUGAGAAAAAAUAUCGUUUCAUUUUUUAUAGUUAAAAAUCUCAUUUUUCUG